CACGUAGGGGGCGAGCGUUAUCCGGAAUCAUUGGGCGUAAAGGGUGCGUAGGCGGCCUUUUAAGCGCGGGGUCUAAGGCGGUGGCCCAACCACCGUUCGCCCCGCGAACUGGAGGGCUAGAGUGUCGGAGAGGGAAGCGGAAUUCCUAGUGUAGCGGUGAAAUGCGUAGAUAUUAGGAGGAACACCAGUGGCGAAGGCGGCUUCCUGGACGAAGACUGACGCUGAGGCACGAAAGCGUGGGGAGCAAACAGG
rnacentral:rRNA from 1 species